UGAGGAAUAUUGGUCAAUGGGCGCAAGCCUGAACCAGCCAUCCCGCGUGAAGGAUGAAGGCCCUAUGGGUCGUAAACUUCUUUUAUACACCAAGAAAAAGCAGGACGUGUCCUGCCCCGACGGUAGUGUAUGAAUAAGCAUCGGCUAACUCCGUGCCAGCAGCCGCGGUAAUACGGAGGAUGCGAGCGUUAUCCGGAUUCAUUGGGUUUAAAGGGUGCGUAGGCGGCUUUUUAGGUCAGUGGUGAAAUCUUGCCGCUUAACGGUAAAAUUGCCAUUGAUACUGAUAAGCUUGAGUACAAUUGAGGUAAGCGGAAUGUGUAGUGUAGCGGUGCAAUGCUUAGAUAUUACACAGAACACCGAUUGCGAAGGCAGCUUACUAAACUGUUUCUGACGCUGAUGCACGAAAGCGGGGGGAGCAAACA
rnacentral:rRNA from 1 species